rnacentral:misc_RNA from 1 species
UCUCCCGUGAGGGAGCAGUCUCGCCUGAAAUGUAACAGGCAACGGGGGUUGCGUUCGUUACCCCACUGAAGGGAACAGUUCAAACCACGAACUGACGACGACCAUGCAUCACCUGUCCAACACCCUCGAAGGCUCCCUCCCUUUCGGGUGGGAUGCAGUUGGAUUUCCAGCCUUGGUAAGGUUCUUCGCUUGUCGACGAAUUAAGCCACAUUAUCCACCGCUUGUGCGAGUCCCCGUCUAUUCCUUUGAGUUUUAAGCUUGCGCUCGUACUACCCAGGCGGCUCGCUUACCGCGUUAGCUUAGCCUCGCAGAGGGUCGAUACUCCGCAAAGCGAGCGAGCAACGUUUAGGGCCAGGACUAC